rnacentral:rRNA from 1 species
GCAAGUCGAACGAACUCUGGUAUUGAUUGGUGCUUGCAUCAUGAUUUACAUUUGAGUGAGUGGCGAACUGGUGAGUAACACGUGGGAAACCUGCCCAGAAGCGGGGGAUAACACCUGGAAACAGAUGCUAAUACCGCAUAACAACUUGGACCGCAUGGUCCGAGUUUGAAAGAUGGCUUCGGCUAUCACUUCUGGAUGGUCCCGCGGCGUAUUAGCUAGAUGGUGAGGUAACGGCUCACCAUGGCAAUGAUACGUAGCCGACCUGAGAGGGUAAUCGGCCACAUUGGGACUGAGACACGGCCCAAACUCCUACGGGAGGCAGCAGUAGGGAAUCUUCCACAAUGGACGAAAGUCUGAUGGAGCAACGCCGCGUGAGUGAAGAAGGGUUUCGGCUCGUAAAACUCUGUUGUUAAAGAAGAACAUAUCUGAGAGUAACUGUUCAGGUAUUGACGGUAUUUAACCAGAAAGCCACGGCUAACUACGUGCCAGCAGCCGCGGUAAUACGUAGGUGGCAAGCGUUGUCCGGAUUUAUUGGGCGUAAAGCGAGCGCAGGCGGUUUUUUAAGUCUGAUGUGAAAGCCUUCGGCUCAACCGAAGAAGUGCAUCGGAAACUGGGAAACUUGAGUGCAGAAGAGGACAGUGGAACUCCAUGUGUAGCGGUGAAAUGCGUAGAUAUAUGGAAGAACACCAGUGGCGAAGGCGGCUGUCUGGUCUGUAACUGACGCUGAGGCUCGAAAGUAUGGGUAGCAAACAGGAUUAGAUACCCUGGUAGUCCAUACCGUAAACGAUGAAUGCUAAGUGUUGGAGGGUUUCCGCCCUUCAGUGCUGCAGCUAACGCAUUAAGCAUUCCGCCUGGGGAGUACGGCCGCAAGGCUGAAACUCAAAGGAAUUGACGGGGGCCCGCACAAGCGGUGGAGCAUGUGGUUUAAUUCGAAGCUACGCGAAGAACCUUACCAGGUCUUGACAUACUAUGCAAAUCUAAGAGAUUAGACGUUCCCUUCGGGGACAUGGAUACAGGUGGUGCAUGGUUGUCGUCAGCUCGUGUCGUGAGAUGUUGGGUUAAGUCCCGCAACGAGCGCAACCCUUAUUAUCAGUUGCCAGCAUUAAGUUGGGCACUCUGGUGAGACUGCCGGUGACAAACCGGAGGAAGGUGGGGAUGACGUCAAAUCAUCAUGCCCCUUAUGACCUGGGCUACACACGUGCUACAAUGGAUGGUACAACGAGUUGCGAACUCGCGAGAGUAAGCUAAUCUCUUAAAGCCAUUCUCAGUUCGGAUUGUAGGCUGCAACUCGCCUACAUGAAGUCGGAAUCGCUAGUAAUCGCGGAUCAGCAUGCCGCGGUGAAUACGUUCCCGGGCCUUGUACACACCGCCCGUCACACCAUGAGAGUUUGUAACACCCAAAGUCGGUGGGGUAACCUUUUAGGAACCAGCCGCCUAAGG